rnacentral:rRNA from 1 species
UACGAAGGGGGCUAGCGUUGUUCGGAAUUACUGGGCGUAAAGCGCGCGCAGGCGGUCUUCCAAGUCAGUGGUGAAAGCCUGGAGCUCAACUCCAGAACUGCCAUUGAAACUGUUAGACUUGAGUACGAGAGAGGUGAGUGGAAUUCCCAGUGUAGAGGUGAAAUUCGUAGAUAUUGGGAAGAACACCAGUGGCGAAGGCGGCUCACUGGCUCGUAACUGACGCUGAGGCGCGAAAGCGUGGGGAGCAAACAGG